rnacentral:rRNA from 1 species
GCAGUAGCCACGGUAAUACGAAGGGGGCUAGCGUUGUUCGGAAUUACUGGGCGUAAAGCGCACGUAGGCGGAUAUUUAAGUCAGGGGUGAAAUCCCAGAGCUCAACUCUGGAACUGCCUUUGAUACUGGGUAUCUUGAGUAUGGAAGAGGUGAGUGGAAUUCCGAGUGUAGAGGUGAAAUUCGUAGAUAUUCGGAGGAACACCAGUGGCGAAGGCGGCUCACUGGUCCAUUACUGACGCUGAGGUGCGAAAGCGUGGGGAGCAAACAGGAUUAGAUACCCCUGUAGUCCCUGUCUCUUAUAC